GACGAACGCUGGCGGCGUGCUUAACACAUGCAAGUCGAACGGUAAGGCUCCAGCUUGCUGGGGUACACGAGUGGCGAACGGGUGAGUAACACGUGGGUGACCUGCCCUGCACUUCGGGAUAAGCCUGGGAAACUGGGUCUAAUACCGGAUAGGACCAUGGUGUGGAUACUGUGGUGGAAAGUUUUUUCGGUGUGGGAUGGGCUCGCGGCCUAUCAGCUUGUUGGUGGGGUAAUGGCCUACCAAGGCGGCGACGGGUAGCCGGCCUGAGAGGGUGGACGGCCACAUUGGGACUGAGACACGGCCCAGACUCCUACGGGAGGCAGCAGUGGGGAAUAUUGCACAAUGGGCGGAAGCCUGAUGCAGCGACGCCGCGUGGGGGAUGACGGCCUUCGGGUUGUAAACUCCUUUCACCAUCGACGAAGGGUUUCUGACGGUAGAUGGAGAAGAAGCACCGGCUAACUACGUG
rnacentral:rRNA from 1 species